AAAGUCGUAACAAGGUUUCCGUAGGUGAACCUGCGGAAGGAUCAUUAACAAAUUCAAUAAUGUGUAUUUUGUGCAAAUUAUUUGUUGUUUUAUAUAUAAACAACAAAUACAAAUACAACAAACAGUCUAUUACAUUUAAUUUAUAACAACUUUUAACAAUGGAUCUCUAGGCUCUU
rnacentral:misc_RNA from 1 species